CGGGCUGUAGCGCAGUUUGGCUAGCGCACCGCCUUUGGGUGGCGGGGGUCGCCGGUUCGAAUCCGGCCAGCCCGA
rnacentral:tRNA from 4 species